rnacentral:rRNA from 1 species
UGGGGAAUCUUAGACAAUGGGCGCAAGCCUGAUCUAGCCAUGCCGCGUGAGUGAUGAAGGCCCUAGGGUCGUAAAGCUCUUUCGCCAGGGAUGAUAAUGACAGUACCUGGUAAAGAAACCCCGGCUAACUCCGUGCCAGCAGCCGCGGUAAUACGGAGGGGGUUAGCGUUGUUCGGAAUUACUGGGCGUAAAGCGCGCGUAGGCGGACCAGAAAGUUGGGGGUGAAAUCCCGGGGCUCAACCCCGGAACGGCCUCCAAAACUCCUGGUCUUGAGUUCGAGAGAGGUGAGUGGAAUUCCGAGUGUAGAGGUGAAAUUCGUAGAUAUUCGGAGGAACACCAGUGGCGAAGGCGGCUCACUGGCUCGAUACUGACGCUGAGGUGCGAAAGUGUGGGGAGCAAACAGGAUUAGAUACCCUGGUAGUCCACACCGUAAACGAUGAAUGCCAGUCGUCGGGUAGCAUGCUGCUCGGUGACACACCUAACGG